CUGGGCAUUCUUUAAAAAGCCCAAAUCAAGACUAUCUGAACGCAACUAGAAAGAAGCAUUUUAUAGAGGAGAAAAGUGAAGUUUUUCUCUCCUUUUCAACGAAAUCUAACUCAUUUGACCAACAAAAAAAAUUAAAAAGAUCUUUCAUUGUACAGUUUUUCUUUUCCGAAUUUGGUGAGGUGAAAUUGAUGCUUUGGGUUUGUUUAUUACAACACUGUUUAGGCCGUUAAUUAAAAUAUAAUUAAAAGUCUUCACUACUAAAUUCAUUAAAAUAAUAGUAAUUUUAGGUAAUUCGAC
rnacentral:lncRNA from 1 species